CACGUAGUUAGCCGGCGCUUCUUAUCCAACUACCGUCAACCAGGCGAAUAAGGCCUGGCCUGCUUCACUGGCGAAAGAGGUUUACAACCCGAAGGCCUUCAUCCCUCACGCGGCGUCGCUGCAUCAGGCUUGCGCCCAUUGUGCAAUAUUCCCCACUGCUGCCUCCCGUAGGAGUCUGGGCCGUGUCUCAGUCCCAGUGUGACCGUCCACCCUCUCAGGCCGGCUACCCGUCAAAGCCUUGGUAGGCCAUCACCCCACCAACAAGCUGAUAGGCCGCGAGCCCAUCCCCCACCAGAAAAAACCUUUCCAGACCCCACCAUGCGGCAGGACCUGAAUAUCCCGUAUUAGCUACCGUUUCCGGCAGUUAUCCAGGAGAAGGGGGCAGGUUACUCACGUGUUACUCACCCGUUCGCCACUCAUCCACCCCAGCAAGCUGGGGCUUCACCGUUUCGACUUGCAUGUGUUAAGCACGCCGCCAGCGUCGUUCCCGACGCCACGGAUACAAACUACU
rnacentral:rRNA from 1 species